rnacentral:rRNA from 1 species
CAGUAACGGCGAGUGAAGCGGCAACAGCUCAAAUUUGAAAUCUGGCCCUCCCGGGGUCCGAGUUGUAAUUUGCAGAGGGUGCUUUGGCAUCGGCUGCGGUCCAAGUCCCUUGGAACAGGGCGUCGGAGAGGGUGAGAAUCCCGUAUCUGGCCGCCAGCCUUCGCCGUGUAAAGCCCCUUCGACGAGUCGAGUUGUUUGGGAAUGCAGCUCCAAGUGGGAGGUAAAUUUCUUCUAAAGCUAAAUACCGGCCAGAGACCGAUAGCGCACAAGUAGUGUGAACGAAAGAUGAAAAGCACUUUGGAAAGAGAGUCAAAAAGCACGUGAAAUUGUUGAAAGGGAAGCGCUUGCAGCCAGACGUGCCCGCGGUCGCUCAGCCAGGCCCUCGGCCUGGUGCACUCCUCCGCGGGCAGGCCAGCAUCGGUUCCGGUGGUCGGACAAAGGCCUGCUAAACGUACCUCCCCCGGGAGGACUUAUAGGGUAGGUGGCAUACGACCAGCUGGGAUCGAGGUCCGCGCUUCGGCGAGGAUGCUGGCGUAAUGGUGGCAAGCGGCCCGUCUUGAAACACGGACCAAGGAGUCUAACAUCUAUGCGAGUGUUUGGGUGGCAAGCCCGGGCGCGCAAUGAAAGUGAACGGAGGUGGGAUCCCUUCGCCGGGUGCACCAUCGACCGAUCCUGAAGUCUUCGGAUGGAUUUGAGUAAGAGCAUAGCUGUUGGGACCCGAAAGAUGGUGAACUAAGCUUGAAUAGGGUGAAGCCAGAGGAAACUCUGGUGGAGGCUCGCAGCGGUUCUGACGUGCAAAUCGAUCGUCAAAUUUGGGCUUAGGGGCGAAAGACUAAUCGAACCAUCGACGGCUACUAGGUGGUUGAGAGGGCCUCCCCCCGCGGGGGAGGGAGCGCCCUAGUCUCCGCGCGCGGAGGCUACGCCGUCAAAUUGUCGGGGACACCCUGAGAGCUUUUGGCCACCGCGGCCCCGCCGAAAGGCGGGGUGCAGCACCAGCCGUAGCGGGCUGGGGAUGGUGACAGCGCCGGAAGAUUGGGCGACCCGCAGCCAAGCCCUACCGCCGCUCCCUCCGCUCGCUAGGAGGGGGGCCACGGGUGCAGUUCACAGACUAGAUGUCGGCGGGUGGCGCCUCGGGGCGCUGCUCAAGAGAUAGUCGCAUCCCGCCCCGAAAGGGGCCGGGGAGGCCGAUGCGAGCGAUCGAUC